rnacentral:lncRNA from 1 species
UUUUUUUUUUUUUUUUUUUAAUUCUUCAGCUAAAACAGUGGAAAAGGUGAUUUAUUAUAUGGUUGUUACACUCGGCCACAAAUAAACACAGAAAUAGUCCAGAAUGUCACAGGUCCAGGGCAGAGGACCAACAUGGGCCAGCAUCCCCAGCGUCUGGCAUUCCAUGUUUCUGCUCCUGUGGCCUCCACGGUGCAACAAGCUAGCGGUUUACUU